rnacentral:ncRNA from 1 species
UACAUUUGUCUCGUCUUAGGUGAUGUGUUGAUGCCCAAUUAACACACAAGAGGGAAGCCGGUUAGAAUCCGGAACAGUGCCCGCUACUGUGAUGCCCGUUUCUCCGAAUAAGGAGAUUCAAAGAAAGAUUCUUACACCACUGUCCACACGGAUGGGAAGGUAUUUUUCUUAGGCGUAGUCAGGAGACCUGCCAAGACAAACAUAGGUAA